GCAAACUUCAAUCAUAUCCAACAACCUCUCAAGUUAAAAGCCAAAGUUACCUAGUGAAGAAUUAAAAAUAAAAUUUAAUUUCUAACAUGCUCCUUAACACAAAAGCCAUUGGGUUUAAAAGUGUGAAUUUAAGUGCAAGCCCAUCACAUAAACUGAAAUAUUAUAAGAAUGGAUUGAUGAUUAAAAAUCUUUAACCUUCCGCAUUGUUUCAACUACGGCUAUUUUUAUUAAUUUUAUCAAUUGAACUAUUCAUUAGUUGCAUCUAAAAUAGCCACCUUUGGAUUCCAUGCAAAAAUGAUGUACAUUUGCUGAUGUGCACAUUGACUGGCCCUUAGCUCAAUAGAUAUCACAGGAACCUCUUUCCUACUUUUUUUAAAUGAUGUAAAACGGUAUUUGGAAUAUUGUGCUUGCAUAUAUGGACUCCAGAUAAUGUAAAAUUGACUACAGAUUUAAUUUACCAAAUUUAAUAUUUUCCUGGUCAGCUAAAUUUGGCUACUCAAUAAGCCAACUAGCGUUCACAUUAGCCAUUAGAAAUGGACUUGAGAUCAAACUUUGGAGUAGAGAUUGGAGUAGAUGACACCAUAAUAGAAAAAAAUAAUACAACCAAAAGUCAAGAGACUCUUACACCAUGUUGAUUUAUUACUAGUUCCAAAUGUUGGUCUACCAGAGAAAGACCAAUGAUUUAAUGUGAUGAAGCCUUCUUAAUGGAAUAAAUUCAUUUAAAAGAAAGGUCAUAGCAGAUAAAUUGCAUACUACAUCAGUACACCUAAAACAUCACUUCAACCAUUAAAUGAGAUAUAGC
rnacentral:misc_RNA from 1 species